rfam:Schistosoma haematobium scaffold84_32, whole genome shotgun sequence.
AGCUAUCUAAAUCCGUUCUGAAAUUUCAUCGGAUACCAAUCCUCCAGGGUCGAUGAGACUUCCAAGAUAAGUGUAGUG